rnacentral:rRNA from 1 species
UAGGGAAUCUUCCGCAAUGGACGCAAGUCUGACGGAGCAACGCCGCGUGAGUGAAGAAGGAUUUCGGUUCGUAAAACUCUGUUGUUAGAGAAGAACAGCGCAUAGAGUAACUGUUAUGCGUGUGACGGUAUCUAACCAGAAAGCCACGGCUAACUACGUGCCAGCAGCCGCGGUAAUACGUAGGUGGCAAGCGUUGUCCGGAUUUAUUGGGCGUAAAGCGAGCGCAGGCGGUCAAUUAAGUCUGAUGUGAAAGCCCCCGGCUCAACCGGGGAGGGUCAUUGGAAACUGGUUGACUUGAGUGCAGAAGAGGAGAGUGGAAUUCCAUGUGUAGCGGUAAAAUGCGUAGAAAUAUGAAGGAACACCAGUGGCGAAGGCGACUCUCUGGUCUGUAACUGACGCUGAGGCUCGAAAGCGUGGGUAGCAAACAGG